rnacentral:ncRNA from 1 species
UCUGCUGAAUUAGUGAUCGGCGGAACUUAACUUAGGAGAAUGACAUGUCACUAACUAAAGAAGAAACCGCAAAAAUUAUUGCUGACUACGG